CCUUUGCACUCUCACUCACUUACUCCAAGCUAAUAAAAUUUAAAAAAAUAAAUAAAUAAAUGUUUUUAAACAAUUAAUUUUUCAGUGAUGCAGGGAGCAUUAUCCCUAAAGGCCAGGGACAGUUGUGAGUCUUUGAAGUGAGGUUAUGUUAAAAAAAUUUAGACAGAUAAAAUCUUACCUGCAAUACAGGAAUCUUUUGUUUCAACUCCACAUUCGUAGGUCCAAGUGGGUAAAGCGAGGAGGGUCCGUGCAUCCUGAAAUGUCUUAAAUUCAAGUAUCUAAAAUCAAGGCCUAAAAAAUUAAUUUAAAAAAGUUACGUUGGCCUUAAAUAUGUGAAUCAUAGAUCUUAAAUUUUGUUGCGGCAUUACUAUUUAAUCUCUCAUAUACUAUGUAGGUUUUUUUUUUUUUUUGUCAUGAGACUUUCCCAUCAGGCUAAUGUUUAUGUCACUUUAUUGUGUUGUGUGUCUCAUGGCAGUUGAGACUACUGGUAGCUAUCUGCUAAUUUACACUUGCUAGCUAGCAAAUGUAUAUUAGCAGCUAUGUUAGAAGGAACUAUUGGUUCUGGUUCCUGGAGUGGAAAUGGAGGGAGGAGAUAAACUAGCCAUCUAAAAUAAAAGGCUAGCAAGCUUGCUUUUCUGCCUCCGUCAAAGGUUAAGUGCAAACUUAUCGCCAGUAGGGUGGACGUCGUUCAUCUUUGCCAUUGGAUCACUUCCGUUGCCAACCCAUAUGAUGCUACAUUUAUUCUGUGUAAAAAAUUAAAAAAAAAGUUCUUAAGAAGUCUUAAAUGUGGUGAAAUUGGUGAAACCUGCAGAAACCCUGAGUGAGAGAGAUGGCCAAGACCAAGACUGACUUUUAUCGUCCUGGAACAACUCCAGCCCACUUCCAAGAGAAGAUGGGGGUCAGAGUGGGUGCACCACCAAUAAUCAACCUGAGAGCUUAACAUUUAAAGUAUACUUACCAGUGGGGAUGACUACCUCAUGUAAAAGUAAAGCUCUUCCUCUGGAAUCCAUGAGCCGCUGCUGCUUUGAGCCGUACCGCAAGGAAGAAGUUUUCUCUUUAAGGGAUAGGUUAGUGUCAUGAAACCAACAACCAAUUAAAAAAAAGAUGACAGCCAUGUUUAAAGCUCCUGAGUUAGCUUUGAUUUUCAUCUGCCUAAUUGAAGACAAAAAAGCAAGAAAACCACUGAGCUUCAGAAUUAAUACAAAGUUAAUUAGCAUUGGUAAACAUGAGCUCACAUUCUAUUUCCUGCUGGCAUUUGUCGUGGAGUUUGAUUGGAUGAAUGCACCGCAUAGAGCAGCCCUUACAGCUGAUAUUUAAUGCUAGCUGCAUAAAUGCCAUCUUCGACUCAGUUCUUAGACGCUGCCGGUCUUUUAAAAAUUAGGUUAUUGAAUCCUCCUCUAGUCUAAGCACAGUGUUGAACUGCCUCCUGCAGCAGUGCCGGUGCUGAUUAUAGUUUAGCUGCUUAUGAAAUGUUCACAACUACAGGAUGUUGCUUAAAACGGCGUGAAUAAAUUAAGUUGAUGAUAAUGGGCUAGUUGUUUGAAGUUACAUUAAGAUAAAAGUGUGAUCUGUGUAAUCUAGAACUGAUAAAUUCACAAAUCUUUGCUGGUUUUCUGGCUGUGGAAACCAAGCUACUUCUUUUUCUUGAUUGAACCAGUUGACCACUGACAGUAACUCUUCAUAAACUGCCAUGGCGUUUUGGGGAAUGUGAAUUGUUUUAAGGUGGUAGGGGUCACUUCAGUCUUGGUGUAUUAACCAACCUUUAUCUUUUGCUUCAAGGUCUAACUAAUCUGAAUUUGUACUUAAAGAUACUAAAGCAGCCAUACAUGGAAGGCAGGAUACCAAAGCUGCUAUCUGAACAAAACUGGUCCACAAGGGAUGAUGUGGUGCAGGUUUUAGAUGUUUUCCUGCUUGAGCACAGCUGACUUAAAUGAGGGGAUCAUUAGCAAGCAGCUGCACAACUUGAAAACAGGCUUAGGAGUUAAUUUAAUGAUUUGAAUCAGGUGUUUGGAGCAGGGGCACAUCUAAAAUUUUUAGGACAUGUCCCUUUGAGGACCAAAUUGGCCCACCUCUGCUGCGAAAUCACGUAAAAAUAAUUUAGACACUGCUUAGAAAUGCGAUGGGCAUUGCUUUCUAUUUGUCUUGCUAGUAUUUGAUAAAGUCUCUCAUAAAAACAAGCGUCCAUGACGUCACAUAAUACAGCUGCUCAGAUUUCUUUUCUCCUUAUUUCUGUUUUAAGCCAAAUGUCCCCUUCAAAGGUGUUUAUUGUUACCUGCUGAUCAGCUUGACUCAUGUGCCUCUUGUGACGUCAUCCACCCAAAUACAAGCGAAGAAGAAUUAUUUUGAACAAAACCUGACUUCAAACGUCUUGAACUUUCCCUUUUAAAAUGCACUGCAAGGUUGUGAAAGGUAAAGUUGUUUUUUUUUUGUCCAAAAUGAAUUUAAAUCCUGGAUAGAGUUUUUUUCUUUGUAGGAAUUUCACUACUAAAGCCUUAAUAUUUGGGGCUUUUAGAUGCCAUUUAGAGUCCAUCCUUUUACGUCCAUGUUGCUAGUUCCAUAACAAGAGAGCUUGGACAAUCAGAAAGUCAUGCUGACUGUGUGUGGUAGGCAGUCUGCAGUGGUCUUCCCAUAGGUUAUGCAACCCUAUCCUAAUGACCUUAAAGGAUGGGACUGACUUGUCUUACGAGCUGCAAUAGAACAGCUAUUUUAUUGGUAAUUUGUAGGGGGCAUGAGAAUGUGUUGAGUAAGGAACCCGGAGUGCUCUCUGACUGCAUGCAGCUGUUAUGAGCUUCGUGCAAACAAACAUGCCAGAGGGAGGAAAUAAGAACCUGACAAACAAACUUCCAGGUUAGCAUCGAUACCGCUGUUCUCGCCUCCUCCUGUGUUUCUGUUUUCUGAUGCCUUUGCAAUGCGAAACGUCCCAGAAAUGGCAGCACUUAUGCUAAUUGCAAUGUGAUUUGUAGUUUUUGAUGGAAAACAGUUGUCUUUUUGCAGCUUCUAUUAAGCGCAAUGUGCAGGCGUCUGGUUUUGUUGUAGAGGCUUUUAACGUAUCUCGUGUUGGGGCUUAUCGAGAUUAAGCGCGGUCUCAUGCUUUAUGCACAAGUUGUGCAGCUGAAGUGGUGAGCUGCAUCAGGCAACAGAGAUGUCACCCCACUCCCCGGCAGUUUCGCAGUGAAUAAUCAGGAAGCGACACCUUGAUACUGCAGCCACAACUGUGACUGUUGUCUGUGGUCAGGCCAAAAGUGAAACCGAGAAGUGCUGCAGAGACACUGUGUCCUGCGACGGCUCUUCUCAGGAAGGGCCCCACUGUUUUCCAUUUGGAACAUUUCAACCCCUCGCUCCCGGCCCUUGAUGACAUCACCUCACCAGUUCAGGUUUAACAUUUACUUCAAAGGAUGAGACGUUUCUGCCUGCUUAGCUGUUAAGGGGCAACGAGAGAGCGCGUGUGUGUGCGUGCUGAUAAUGAGAGAUGCUUUGAGGUUAAAAAAAGAGCAGUCUUGGUUUUAGAGUUUAUUAGAUUCUGAAGAGACUCUGGCAGGAACAAAGACAAGGAAUGAGAGUGUUUUUUUUUUUUUUGUUUUUUUUUUCCCCUGCUGUGUUAUGCAACCACUUGAGCUCCCUCUCGCUCUACCAGCAGUGUUCUAAUAGGACCCCACCCCCUCACUCAGGACAGCCUGCUCUUUUGAAGCAGCAUAAUUUCCUGUAAUGUUCUUAAUUUAGAAUCCCCAAGUAAAUCAUCAGCAUCUCUACAGCUGUGUUUAUUUUUUGCAUUUUAGCCUCUUAUAAAUUGCAAAUUGCUAUUGAUUAUAAUCACUAGAGCAAAAAAAAAAAAAAAGAAAUCCUUAUGGAAAUUAAUCUAGUUCCUGGGUUAGGCUUCAUAGCUCAGAGCUUGUUAUGAUCCUCUGUUUGGAAAUGUUACUACAUUGUCAGUUUGCUUGCUAAUUUUUUUGUAACUCAAAAGUAUAAAACACGAAUUAAUCAGUCAAUCAAAGAUCAAAAUCAGCCAAUUGAUUUCCCUAUUUCCUACUUUUUGAACACAUAACAACUAACUAACAUUUUUGGGCCAUAAAUGUAUCAACUUUGAACUUUUAAUAAAAGUCACAUAUUUUCUGUUCUAUUCCAGACUACUACUUUGGAAGAGAGGCUGUAGCUAAUGUGGUUCUUACAUGUGUUGUUUCCCCCUCAUGUUGUUGUUUAGACAUGGGGUAACAUGAGAUUAUCAUAGUAUGGUGGUCUUGAGUUAUGCAAUGAUUAGAAUGAUUUCAGUAGAACGAUUUCACUCUUUGUAGAAUUACUAAAAUAUAUGUUUUAUGUUAGCUGGGCUAUCUGCUGCAGUAUAAAGCCUGCAGUCAACUGCUUUCCAAACCCAUCACUUGUAGCUUGCCAACUGUUUUGAAGCAGUGUCAUAGGAUCCUGCUUCGUUUCCACAAGACGGUCUGUUUUAAUGAGCAGGAGUGUUUGCAAAGAGUUGAGUUUCUCUUUCUUGUUGAUGAAGUAAAAGUAUAGUUUCUCUAUUUAGGCCAGCUGACAGGGAGCGGGCACCAACAAUUGGAAGAAAGGGAAUGCUUCAUUAAUCUGCACUCGAUAAAGCCAGAAAAAAACUCAAGUCGCUCUGGCUCUUUCUCCAACAACUCAUUAAAAGCAUUGCAAAACAUUGAAGUGGUAUGAUGAAAAGUCGCUUCUGGUUCACCUAAUGCCCCAUAUAUUGACCUGGCAGGUUGGAAAAUAGAGCAAUCAUCGACGUGGAAGUAAACUGCUUCCCCUCUCUACAACAACACAUUGAUGGAGCCAGGAACAAUGACCAAACGGCCUCUGCUUCCCACCCCCCUGGGCAUCAUUUGGAUGGUGUGACAGAUUAAAAUAAAAGUGCUCCAGCUCCUCC